rnacentral:rRNA from 1 species
GAUGAACGCUGGCGGCGUGCCUAAUACAUGCAAGUCGAGCGAACAGACGAGGAGCUUGCUCCUUUGACGUUAGCGGCGGACGGGUGAGUAACACGUGGGUAACCUACCUAUAAGACUGGGAUAACUUCGGGAAACCGGAGCUAAUACCGGAUAAUAUUUCGAACCGCAUGGUUCGAUAGUGAAAGAUGGCUUUGCUAUCACUUAUAGAUGGACCUGCGCCGUAUUAGCUAGUUGGUAAGGUAACGGCUUACCAAGGCAACGAUACGUAGCCGACCUGAGAGGGGGAUCGGCCACACUGGAACUGAGACACGGUCCAGACGCCUACGGGAGGCAGCAGUAGGGAAUCUUCCGCAAUGGGCGAAAGCCUGACGGAGCAACGCCGCGUGAGUGAUGAAGGUCUUCGGAUCGUAAAACUCUGUUAUUAGGGAAGAACAAACGUGUAAGUAACUGUGCACGGCUUGACGGUACCUAAUCAGAAAGCCACGGCUAACUACGUG